rnacentral:rRNA from 1 species
UACAGAGGUCUCAAGCGUUGUUCGGAUUCAUUGGGCGUAAAGGGUGCGUAGGUGGCGCGGUAAGUCGGGUGUGAAAUCUCGGAGCUUAACUCCGAAAUUGCAUUCGAUACUGCCGUGCUUGAGGACUGGAGAGGAGACUGGAAUUCAUGGUGUAGCGGUGAAAUGCGUAGAGAUCAUGAGGAAGACCAGUGGCGAAGGCGGGUCUCUGGACAGUUCCUGACACUGAGGCACGAAGGCCAGGGGAGCAAACGGG